rnacentral:lncRNA from 1 species
AAAUAAUAACAAUAAUUUACUAACUCCUUAAAAUAAUUAACUAAACUAAAGUCUAAACAAAUUAUAUUACAACCAACCAACAAUAAUUUAGUAACUCCUUAACAUAAUUAACUAAAAUAAAUUCUAAACAAAUUAUAUUACAAAACCAUAAUCAUCCAAUCAUAAAUAUAAAACAGAAAUAAAAAAAAAUAACUUUACAUAAAAAAAAUUAAAAACCUGAAGAUAAGCAACAACAACAGCACAAGCAUCACAAUAGGAUGACUUAGGAUGAAGAACACUGUCUGAAAAUCACAUAAAAAAAAAUUCAGAAACAUAGAAUUCCAAAAAAAUAUAGAACAUAAUCGAUUAUGCUCUUAGUUAUGCACAGAGGAUAAUCGAUUAUCCAGGGAUAAUCGAUUAUGUGUGUAGGCAAAAAUACACCAUAAUCGAUUAUGGCACACAAUAAUCGAUUAUGGCCCAUUUUCAACACACCAGAUAAUCGAUUAUGCCUGUAAACUUUUACAGAUAAUCGAUUAUGUUCGUUGAAAAAUCGAUUAUCUGCCCCAUAAUCGAUUAUCUGACUUGUUAUAAUUGAGGCAUAAUCGACUAUGCACCAUUCCAGACUUUAGCUCUCACCUCAGACGAACCCAGAUCAACCCAGAUUAACGCAGAUGAAUCACAAGAACAACCCCAGGACGUGAGAUGAACAAGGUAUACUAACAGAAACGAAGAUGGCUUAUAGGAAUCUCUCCAACCACACUACAAUGCACUCUCAGAUGGCUCGGUUGCUUUCGUUUUCUGUGAAUGGAGGAAUGAACUUCAUGUUGUUAUAUAGCCACGCCCACCUACCUCACCCACUCACCCACUCACCCACCACUGCAUUCACUCUCCUUUCACAGAUUCACACAGAGUCAAACGAUUCCUGAGCCAAGUCAGGAAUCUCAUGGCUUCAUGUGGCAUGCAUGCGCAGGGGCACUGUUUCUUGAUUCCAGCAAAAGCAAGGGUAACUUUGUAACUUGCUUCGGAUGACUUGGCACUCCCCAUCUACAGUGCAACUUUCUCUUCUUCUUUGCGCAGAUAAACAAUUUGCUCAACUUUCUG